UACGUAGGGACCGAGCGUUGUCCGGAAUCAUUGGGCGUAAAGAGCGUGUAGGCGGCCUUUUAAGUCCUGCGUGAAAUCCUGCGGCUCAACCGCAGACGGUCGUGGGAAACUGGAAGGCUAGAGUGCGGGAGAGGAGAGUGGAAUUCCCGGUGUAGCGGUGAAAUGCGCAGAUAUCGGGGAAGAACACCCGUGGCUAAGGCGGCUCUCUAGUACGGUACUGACGCUGAGACGCGAAAGCGUGGGGAGCGAACAGG
rnacentral:rRNA from 1 species